rnacentral:rRNA from 1 species
CCAGAAAGGGACGGCUAANUACGUGCCAGCAGCCGCGGUAAUACGUAGGUCCCGAGCGUUNUCCGGAUUUAUUGGGCGUAAAGGGAGCGCAGGCGNUCAGGAAAGUCUGGAGUAAAAGGCUAUGGCUCAACCAUAGUGUGCUCUGGAAACUGUNUGACUUGAGUGCAGAAGGGGAGAGUGGAAUUCCAUGUGUAGCGGUGAAAUGCGUAGAUAUAUGGAGGANCACCAGUGGCGAAAGCGGCUCUCUGGUCUGUCACUGACGCUGAGGCUCGAAAGCGUGGGUAGCGAACAGGAUUAGAUACCCUGGUAGUCCACGCCGUAAACGAUGAGUGCUAGGUGUUAGGCCCUUUCCGGGGCUUAGUGCCGGAGCUAACGCAAUAAGCACUCCGCCUGGGGAGUACGACCGCAAGGUUGAAACUCAAAGGAAUUGACGGGGGCCCGCACAAGCGGUGGAGCAUGUGGUUUAAUUCGAAGCAACGCGAAGAACCUUACCAGGUCUUGACAUCCCGAUGCUAUUCUUAGAGAUAGGAAGUUACUUCGGUACAUCGGAGACAGGUGGUGCAUGGUUGUCGUCAGCUCGUGUCGUGAGAUGUUGGGUUAAGUCCCGCAACGAGCGCAACCCUUAUUGUUAGUUGCCAUCAUUAAGUUGGGCACUCUAGCGAGACUGCCGGUAAUAAACCGGAGGAAGGUGGGGAUGACGUCAAAUCAUCAUGCCCCUUAUGACCUGGGCUACACACGUGCUACAAUGGUCGGUACAAUGAGUUGCGAGCCGGUGACGGCAAGCUAAUCUCUGAAAGCCGAUCUCAGUUCGGAUUGGAGGCUGCAACUCGCCUCCAUGAAGUCGGAAUCGCUAGUAAUCGCGGAUCAGCACGCCGCGGUGAAUACGUUCCCGGGCCUUGUACACACCGCCCGUCACACCACGAGAGUUUGUAACACCCGAAGUCGGUGAGGUAACCUUUUAGGGGCCA